UACAGAGGUCCCAAGCGUUGUUCGGAUUCACUGGGCGUAAAGGGUGCGUAGGCGGUCGGGUAAGUCUGUUGUGAAAUCUCCGAGCUUAACUCGGAAACUGCAGUGGAUACUAUCCGGCUUGAGGAAUGGAGGGGAGACUGGAAUACUUGGUGUAGCAGUGAAAUGCGUAGAUAUCAAGUGGAACACCAGUGGCGAAGGCGAGUCUCUGGACAUUUCCUGACGCUGAGGCACGAAAGCCAGGGGAGCAAACGGG
rnacentral:rRNA from 1 species